UUCCUAAAUUCAGUUUUACAAUCGGUAGCAAGCAGUGCGUGUCGUUUGACGUUGUGCCAGUCUUCGCGGCAGUCUGCGACGCGACGCGUCCCGUUCCCGUACUAUGCUACCUAUUCGCCUCUGUAACUCGUAAACGUUUGACCUUUGACCCCUGGUCCAAUGGGGUUGUUUUCUUGUCUCGACCCCCCUAUCGAUCGGUACCAUUUUUGCCGUGCUUUACAAAAACUGCAAUCUUACCGUAAGCUGAAUAUCAGUAUUCCUUGUAAACGAAGUAUGUCAACCUUUGCACGCCGUAUUCCUAAAUUCAGUUUUACAAUCGGUAGCAAGCAGUGCACGUGGUUUGACGUUGUGCCAGUGCUCGCGUCAGU
rnacentral:lncRNA from 1 species